UGGGGAAUCUUGCGCAAUGCGCGAAAGCGUGACGCAGCAACGCCGCGUGGGGGAAGACGGCCUUCGGGUUGUAAACCCCUUUCAGUUGGGACGAAGCUUCGGCGGUGAAUAGCCGUACGGAGUGACGGUACCUUCACAAGAAGCCACGGCUAACUACGUGCCAGCAGCCGCGGUAAUACGUAGGUGGCAAGCGUUGUCCGGAAUUAUUGGGCGUAAAGAGCGUGUAGGCUGCCCGAUCAGUCUGCUGUGAAAGUCCAGGGCUCAACCCUGGGAUGCCGGUGGAUACUGUCGGGCUAGAGUCCGGAAGAGGCGAGUGGAAUUCCUGGUGUAGCGGUGAAAUGCGCAGAUAUCAGGAGGAACACCAAUAGCGAAGGCAGCUCGCUGGGACGGUACUGACGCUGAGACGCGAAAGCGUGGGGAGCAAACAG
rnacentral:rRNA from 1 species